CUAUUUUAUCGAUCAAAGACCUUGAGCUCGUUGCUAAUGUAUACGUGAAAUAUUUUCAAGCAUUUUCCAUUUUAUCUAUUAUUUAUUUAUGUAUUUAAUUAUAUAUUUAUACAUUUAUUUUUAUGGGCUUGCAGUCCAAAAUUUGUGAACUCAUUAAUAGCCCAAGAUUAGGAGAUCAAUAGGAGAAACUGGAACGUGUGUGUAGCAGUUUGUGAAUUGAAACAUUCUCCAUUUUCCAAAAAUUCUGCUGUAUCAAAUCUUCCCUCUUUCCCAAAAAUUCUGCAGUAUCAAAUCUUAUACUUUGUCUCUAAAUCUUGGCAAUUCAGCCUAUAAGCAACCCCCUCCACCUCCAUUUAAGUAUACCCUUCACCCACAAAUAUUUUCCAUCCACAUGCUCCCAUCUCUGCAGCUGCGAAGCAGUUCAUUUCAGAUCAUAUUCAGUAAAUCAAGAAAAGCCUAAAGAAACGCAGCAACAUAUUCAAGAGUUAAGAACUCUGCACCAGGUUCGAGUAACCAAGGGCAUUAGAGCUUCAAGCAGAGCAAGCACUGAAUCUCCACUUCGAGGUUGAUCAGUUGGUGCAGACGAGGCUGAGCUGAGGCUAAGGUUCCACGAUGUCUUUUGCUUCCGCUAAUAACUAUCUUGUCACCUCAUCCUCCAUCCCCUAAAUUGAGAAUUUCUAUUGUGUGGUAUAAUAUUAUCUUGUUGGGCUUAGACUUUUAACCCAUAUUUCUUUUAAUGAAGCUAUCACUGAUUAUGAUCAGAGUCACGAAACUAAACGUAUGCGAUCCUGAGUUCGAAUAUUGUCAUUUGAUUAGCAUCUCUUAAUGUCUUUCAUUUUAUCUCCUUUCAUCUUAUCUCUUUAGAUAUGCAUACCCGAUUUAACGAGUAAUUUGGCAAGUUUAUUCAGCUUAAUUAAGUUCUUCAAUUAUUUUCCUAUUUCUUCUUGCCGUGGAGAAGUCGGGUCGUUACAAGUGGUAUCAGAGCAUAAGUUUUCUUUCGUGUCUCUGAUUAUCGCUAAUUGAAUUAUUCCGAGUCUAGAAUAGUACCUCUAGACUUCUAAGCGUUCCUGCAACCCUCAGCUCACCGUCUCACUGCUUGAUCAACAAAGGUACGUUUUCAAAAAUUUUCAAAUAAAUGGUUUUGUUCCAAGAAAGUGCGCGCAAAAGAUUAUCUUGUGAAGUGCUUGAAUGAUUCCACAUAUGCAAGGAGAUAAUUUUUAUGCAAAGAAAGAAAAGUGCGAUUUUUGGACCAACGAGUCCUUACAAGAAGCAAAGUAUGUAAUCAUGAUGGGACUCUCCGAGCCCACAUGAUCUAUUUUCAGAAUAAGUAUAUUAUGACGAGUCUCUUUGAGCUCAAAUAAGCAUGUUUGAAAGAGAAAAGAUUUGUUGUUUAUGUUUUGAUUCUAUGAAUCAUUUAUGAUUAAAGAUAUGUUAUGAUUUUUAACUUCAUGCAUGUUGAGUAAUAUUUCAGAUGGCAUAAGUGACCUUAUUUGUUUACCUCGGUUAUUCAUGACCUUUUUGACCUUAUAGUUAUAAGUAGGUUGACUCAAUAGUCAACAAAGUUAUGAACUUAUAAGAGUAUGCUUUGCCUCAUAGUUAGAGGUGCUCUAGUUAAUGCUAUGAUAGGAUUUCAAUCCAUAUGAACUAUACCUUUGCCUAGAGACUUUAGAAGGACGAAGAAUAGAACCUUGAUGAACAUAGAAUGCUUUCAGAAUACCUAUGAUGCUUAUAGAAUAGAGAAACUUGGUUAGAUCUAGCCUUGCGCUAUUUCUGUUUGAAUGUCAUUGAUCUUUCUUUUUAGACGGACAAACAAGGCGAGAAAUUCUGCAAGCUUUAAACUCCAAUGUACUUGCAAGAACAAUAUGAAGAGAAGUUCCAUGACUACAUCAAGAACCUAGAUGUUUUCUUCAAAGAAUUUUGGGAGAUUUUCAUGUUUUGAAUAGAUGCGCGCAAUGGAAUAGUAUUAGAUAUCGAAUCAUCAACGAGGCUCGUGCGGCACCUUUCAAAUGAAUGGAAUAUAGGGACAACCAACACAUGCCCAAGAAUUGUGAUCAACAAUUUUCCGCCGCUGACCAAGAGCACCAAGCCGAGGCCAUUGACAGCGUAAGAAGAUCAUAAGAACAAUAUUGAGGAAGCUAUCACAAGAAAUUUACGAGAGAGCAAUUGUCUGCAUAUGUUAUUAGAUUAGUGGUGGUACCAGUUGUGUGGAAUCACGUUUCUUUUGACAUAAUCACCAAUCAUUUUGAUUGUAAGGUCGAACUCUUCUACAUCUAACUCAGACCCUACCUAAAGCCUCAAUUCUUUUAAUAAAUUCUCAUAUUAUGCUUAAUGUAUUCCAAAGAAACACUUGGAGUAUACUAUUGUAUUCAUUAUAUUGAAAGUCUUCUUUUGAGGCAUAUGAUACAUAAGUAGUUUGUUUGUACUUUAACGCGUGUUGUUCAAAAUUCCUUCCUCAUAACACGCCUAGUUAUUAUGAUUAAUUUAGACCCGACAUUGUUCAAUCGUGUUAAUCAAAAUAACCCCUUUGAGAUACAUUAUUAUUAUUUUGAAUAUUAUAGAAGUCCUCCUUUGAGGCAGAUAUAUAAGUAAUUUAUUCAUACCUGGUGCGUGUUGUUCAAAUUGCUUUCUCAUAACACGUCGAUUUUAUGAUUGAUUCACAUACGGUACUGUUAGGACGUAUAACCAAUCGAACCUUUAACCACACAAUGGAUAUGGCAAUAAGAGAGCGUGGACGACGACGAGGAAUUUCCCCUGAUGUGCACCACAAGUAGCACCAGAUCGUUUAGUAGUGGAAGGAUUCUGCGAAGAGAAGUCACCUAGGUUUGACGGUUUUGGCGACCCUAUGAGUGCCGAGAAGGGGAUCAAAGCAAUGGGAGAAUUUCACCGGGGAUUACUUUUGGCAGAGUUAUAUGAGAGGUGCACACCGGAAUGUUACCGACAGAGAAAACAAAACGAGUUCUGGAACGUGAGGCAGAAGGCUGGAACGGUGACUGAGUAUGACAGGACUUUCGACCAACUGUCACGAUAUGCUCCACUCCUAUUGGAUACUGAUGAGAAAUGCGCGGAGAAGUUCAGGAACGGACUGGGCCAUGAGAUAUCGAAUUCCCUAGCAAGUCAGGGAGGUCUCACUUAUGCACAAACACUGAGCAGAGCUCUCACGAUUGAGUCAUUGCUACCAAGCUAAUGAGGAAAUGGAAAUAUUAGACUUUCUUAGUCAAUUUGACAGGAAAACUAGAAUCAGAGGAAAACGACCGAAGAAGUUCCAGUUGUUCGAGAUUUCAAAGAUGUUUUUCCUGAAGAAUUGCUCGGUUUGCCACUAGACCGACAACUAGAAUUUACAAUUGACCUAGAACCUCAAGCAGCUCUAGUGUCGAAGACGUCGUAUAGAAUGGCCCCACCAGAGAAUUUAAAAGUGCGUCUGCAAGGAUUGCUGGACCUAGGUUUCAUACAGCCUAGCGUACCACCGUGGGGAAACAUCGGUCCUAUUCGUUAAGAAGAAAGAUGGUUCGCCAAGAAUGUGUAUCGAUUAUAGCGAAAUAAACAUGCUUGCAAUAAAGAAUAGAUAUCCUUUUUCGAGGAUCGACAACCUGUUUGAUAAGUUGAAGGGAGUCGGUGUCUUUUCUAAGAGUGGGCUAAGCCCUGGUUACCAUCAACUCAAAAUAAAAAGGGGAGACUUUCCAAAGAUAGCAUUUCGAACGCGUUACGGACAUUACAAGUUCACAGUGAUGCUUUUAGAUUAACAAAUGCCCCAGUCGUUUUCAUGGACCUAAUAAAUAGAGUGUCCCAUCAGUAUCUCGAUAGUUUCGCCUUAGUGUUCAUUGAGGGCAUUCCCAUCUACUCUAAGACUGAAGAACAACACGAAGAACACUUGCGCAUCGUACUCGAGACGUUGCGGGAUGAGAGACUACCCGCCAAAUUCAGCAAGCGUGAGUUUUGGUUAGGAGAAGUGAUGUUUCUCAGUCACAUCAUGUCGACUAAAGGAAUCAAAGUGGACCCUGCCAAGGUCGAAGCAGUCAGGGAAUGAAAGGCACCAUCAAACGUUAAUGAGAUCAGAAGUUUCCUCGAUCUAGCGGGCUACUACUAAAGAUUAAUUGAGGGAUUCUUAAAAAUUGGCUGGGCCAAUGACUUAGCUUUUGAGAAAGAGAAUCAAAUACUUUUGGUCCGAAGUUUGUGAACAAAAUUUUUAGGAACUCAAGACAAGGCUGACUACUGCCCCAGUGUUAGCAAUACCAGAAGAAAAUGAAGGAUUUGUGGUGUUGGCAUUAUGCCUCAAAGCUAGGACUAGGUUGCGUGUUGAUGCAAAAUUAGAAAGUGAUAGCGUACGCGUCUCGUCAACUGAAGCCCCAUGAGCUGAACUACCCGACUCAUGACUUAGAGCUCACGGCCGUCAUGUACAAGCUGAAGAUUUGGAGACACUACUUCUAUGGAGUUAAGUGUGUGAUCUUCACAGAUCAUAAGAAUUGAAGUACCUCUUCGAGCAAAAUGGAUUUUGAACAUGAGAUAACGAAGAUGGCUCGAAUUAGUAAAGGAUUACGAUUGCACCAUCAGUUACCACCUAGGAAAGGCGAAUGUAGUAGCUGGCUCCUUAAAUCGAAAGACGAGAGCCAAGUUAGGGUAUUUCACCACCCAACAGAGGGAACUGAACCGUGACUUCGCCUUACUCAAUUUAGAAAUUGCUAAUCAUCAGAUGCAAUAUCAGGUUGUGUAACUGCACUAAUAGCUAAACCUGAUUUGAGCGAAAGAAUUGUGCAAGAACAAAAGGAAGAUGGGUUCUUGGAGAAGAUUCGUCUCGUUGCAAGAAUAAGUGAAACUAAAGGAUUCACCGAAGAUAAGGAUAAUGCGUUAAUGGUUGGUGAAAGAUUGUGUGUGCCACGCAAAGAAGAGCUGAAGAGUGAAAUCAUGAGUGAAACACACGACACGCCGUUUACAACCCACCCAGGAAGCACGAAAAUGUAUCGAGACUUGAAGAAAAACGUUCCAGUUGAAAGGAAUGAAGAGAGGUAUAUUUAUGUUCGUGGAACGAUGUCUUGCAUGCCAGCAAAUCAAAGCUCUGCGCCAAAAACCCUACAAAACACUGCAACGGUUGUCAAUUCCGGAAUGAAAAUGAGAGCAUAUCAAUAUAGGAUUUGUGGUGAGCUUACCCAGAUCAACGCAUAGAGACACCAUCAUUUGGGUGAUCGUGAAUCGCCUAUCAAGUUCGGCACAUUUCCUCCCCAUACAAAUGACUUUCGGAUUGGAGAAGCUUGCGGAGCUAUAGGUUAAAGAAAUUGUGCGUCUUGGUGAUGUACCUGAGUCAAUCAAAUCUGAUCGUGAUUCCAGAUUCACAGUUAGAUUCUGGAGAAACUUACGAGAAACCAUGGGCACCAAGAUAAACUUUAGCAUAACUUACCACCACCAAACAAACGGUCAAUCUGAAUGAACAAUCCAAUUAUUGGAAGAGGUGCUUCGAGCAAUUGUUGCAGAGAAAUGAGGAAAUUGUGAGGACCUGCUGCCUUUCAUGGAGUUCACCUAUGAUGACAGCUACUAGUCAACGAUUGGAAUGACCUUACGAAGCGCUACAUGGACGUGAAUGCAGAUUACCACUUUAUUUGGGAAGAAGCAGGUGAGCAAAAAUUGUUGGGAUCACAACUAGUUCAACAGAUGAUUGAGAAAGUCGACUAGAUUAAGCAGAAGAUAAAAGAAGCACAAGAUAGACAAAAGUCAGAUGUCGAUACACGAUGCACUGAAUUAGAAUUCGAUGUUGAGGAUCGACUCUUUCUCAAAAUUUUCCACAAAAAGAAUUAUUCGUUUUAGAAGUAGAGAUAAAUUGCGACCCCGCUAUGUAGGACCUUUCGAGACCCUAGGUAGAGUGGGACCCAUAGCUUAUAUGUGGGCACUACCACCCAGCAAUUUGGAUGUGCACGAUGUGUUUCAUGUUUCACAAUUAAGAAAGUACGUGUUUGAUCCAAAGCGCGUAGUAAAAUAGGAUGAAGUAGUUCUAGCCUAACACCUGAACUAUGGAGAUAAGCUAAUCCCGAUGCUUGAUCGAAAGAUCCAAGUUUUAAGAAACGAGCAAAAUCCCUUGGUUAGUACUUUGGCACCACCAUGUUGUAGAAAAAGCGAAGUGAGAACUAGAAGAAAAGUUGUAAGCUCAAUACCCCGAGUUAGAUUGCUACGGCUUGUAAAUUUCGAGGACGAAAUUUUUUUUAAGGAGGGUGGUAUGUAGCACCCCGACUUUUUCAUGAGGAAUAUAAGAAACCCUUAAAGUAGUAUACUAUUGAUACACGUCCGAUUUUUUUUAUAUGUAACUUAUAAUACUUCAAAGAAAUUUCAUAAAUUGUAGUUCAUUACUAUUUUAUCGAUCAAAGACCUUGAGCUCGUUGCUAAUGUAUACGUGAAAUAUUUUCAAGCAUUUUCCAUUUUAUCUAUUAUUUAUUUAUGUAUUUAAUUAUAUAUUUAUACAUUUAUUUUUAUGGGCUUGCAGUCCAAAAUUUGUGAACUCAUUAAUAGCCCAAGAUUAGGAGAUCAAUAGGAGAAACUGGAACGUGUGUGUAGCAGUUUGUGAAUUGAAACAUUCUCCAUUUUCCAAAAAUUCUGCUGUAUCAAAUCUUCCCUCUUUCCCAAAAAUUCUGCAGUAUCAAAUCUUAUACUUUGUCUCUAAAUCUUGGCAAUUCAGCCUAUAAGCAACCCCCUCCACCUCCAUUUAAGUAUACCCUUCACCCACAAAUAUUUUCCAUCCACAUGCUCCCAUCUCUGCAGCUGCGAAGCAGUUCAUUUCAGAUCAUAUUCAGUAAAUCAAGAAAAGCCUAAAGAAACGCAGCAACAUAUUCAAGAGUUAAGAACUCUGCACCAGGUUCGAGUAACCAAGGGCAUUAGAGCUUCAAGCAGAGCAAGCACUGAAUCUCCACUUCGAGGUUGAUCAGUUGGUGCAGACGAGGCUGAGCUGAGGCUAAGGUUCCACGAUGUCUUUUGCUUCCGCUAAUAACUAUCUUGUCACCUCAUCCUCCAUCCCCUAAAUUGAGAAUUUCUAUUGUGUGGUAUAAUAUUAUCUUGUUGGGCUUAGACUUUUAACCCAUAUUUCUUUUAAUGAAGCUAUCACUGAUUAUGAUCAGAGUCACGAAACUAAACGUAUGCGAUCCUGAGUUCGAAUAUUGUCAUUUGAUUAGCAUCUCUUAAUGUCUUUCAUUUUAUCUCCUUUCA